rnacentral:siRNA from 1 species
UUUGCUGCUUCAUUAAACUGUGU